CUAAACAAAAGCGAAAUAACCCUUCGCCGCAAUAAUCAUAACAAUCUCCCAAGGCUUAAAAUACAGAGUCACGAACUCUAACAAAACACAUUGAAAGAUCUCAAAGAUCAAGAUAUAAUAUGGUUCAAAUACAAGCUGACAGUACAAUGAAAGGAAACGACUCCAAGGAACUGCGACAACCAAGCAACUCUACCUUGAGUACUCGGUAUUAACAGACUAACUCUGUCCGAGUCUGAUAUCUCCAAUACAUGGCUCCGCGGAAAAAAUGUGCAUAAGUGUAGUAUGAGUACACCACAAUCAGUACCCGGUAAGAAUCAAGAAUAACCUCGGUGGAGUAGUGACGAGGUACAAGUCAAAAGACUCAC
rnacentral:lncRNA from 1 species